GGAAGGCCAAUUGGAAAGUAUCGGAGACCGGGGUGACGAGAUUUCCAUUAAGACGAAAAUACCCCCGGAAAGCGACAAAUUCUCGCGUCUUGUCUCAUGGACAGCGUGGGCGUUGCCGGAAUUCUUUCAUUGGUGAGGGGCAUUUUAGUACUUCCGUUCCCUGUCGCCAUGCGAGCGCCGAUCUUUCUUAGUUCUUAGCGCUCUCUCUCUCUCUCUGGCUGAGCUCUAGAGAGAGGGGAAGGGAGAGAUUUCUCUUCCCUUUUCUCUCUCGGAUGCGAGAAAGGGCAAAAAAAAGAGGAUAAUUUCUGCAGCAAAGUGAAUCUUGGUUCCUGCCGAUGCCUGGUCUUCUUGGGAAGCCUAUGAUGCAUUUUCGAUCUGAACCACUAUUGGAUUACUGUGGGCCAAACCAAGAGUCAUCAAUAAACUAAUUCCCCCGCGCCCUGCCGCCCCCCCCUUCCCUUUUGUAAAUGUGUUCAAUUGAUUAAUAGAUUGCUAACCUUUUUUUUUUUUUGCUCUUUCUUAUUAUAACAGGGUGGAAUGAUGUUGGUAGUAAAGCAGUAUCGCUGCACACACUCAUCAACUUGUAUAUGUAUGAAAGGUCAUCUGAGUGAGGAUGCAAUUUUUCUUGUGUUUCAACACCUAAAUUGGAACCCCAGAUUGAUUGCUGUAAUGUCAUGUGUUUGCAAAUGGUUUGAUGAGAUCGCCAAGCGGGUUUUGUGGAAGGAGUUUUGCCGAACAAGGGCUCCGAAGAUGAUGCUAGAUUUGCAAUCCAGUGGAAGCCACAGUGUUGAUGGAAACUGGAAAGCACUUGGGAAGCUUCUUAUCUAUUGUUCAGGUUGCAGCAAAGGGGGUCUGUUUAAUACCGUCCAUAUUCUGGGUCACUUUGUUUACAGGAGUCGGUUUUCUAGGACUUCAGGGAAAAGUUUUCUUAUUCCACAAUGCAGAACAGAUGUGUUGUAUGUAUCAGACCCUUGUGAGCAUCUUGAUCAGGGAGAAGAGGGUGAUGUGGGCUUUUUUCGUGGUGUCUUCAAGUCAUUUUCUGUUUCAAGAGUUAGGAAGAUGCUGAUUGACAGGCAGGCAAAGUUUCAUCCCACAGAGGUGUGUCCGUACUGUAAAGCAAAGUUGUGGAGCAUGCUGCAAGCAAACAUGAUACCAAGGAGUGCUGCCAGCAGGUUAGAUGCUUAUGAUGAUUCCAUAGAGUAUUAUGUAUGCCUCAAUGGCCAUAUGCUGGGAAUAUGCACUCUCUUACCACUCUCAGACUCGGAGGAGGUGUCAGAGUUGGAGUGAUGCUUGGAAUUUGAUGCAGGUUUUCAAGUGUUGAAGAAUCUUUAUUCCUGCAUUACAUUGUGGAUCAUCUUGGCUACUGUUCAAGAAAGAUUUGGUAGAAGGGUGAUGCAGGGAUCUUCGCUCGCUAUCAUAUGUAACAGUGCAUGCAGAUCACAUAGGAGUUUAUCUUCUGGCUCUGCAAGCACUGAGAAAGCUGUUCUUUCGUCUCUCAUUCUAUUUAUUGCGUAAAUGAAAGAAUUUAGGAGUUUGAUGGGUUUGAGGAGGAAGAGAAUCCAUGGGGGCUUUAUUGGAGUCCAUGCUUGGAAACAAGGUCAGGAUAGGUGUACCAUAUUUUUUAACAGGUUAUGAGCAGGGAACAACUAAGGAGAACAAGCAAGGCGAGGUAUUCUUGCCAUGCAAGUGCUGAUCUGU